UUUCGUUUCAGCCUUUGUUUUCGAGAAAAUCGACUUUGAAUUUUCGCUCGGUACGCGUGCACUUUAUCACGUCUCGUCAUAAGGGAUCUCACUGUAGAUCGCUAAGUCGAAAAUAUAGAAUAAAAAUUUUUCGUUUGAGGCUUUGUUUUCGAGAAAAUCGACUUUGAAUUUUCGCUCGGUACGCGUGCACUUUGUCACGUCUCGUUAUAUGGGAUCUCGCUGUAGAUCGUUGUCUCGAUUGACGUUAUGUUGAUAAACACUU
rnacentral:misc_RNA from 1 species